CUCUUUGUCCUGGGAAGAGUUUGCUGCAUCUUCCAGUUUCAGUAAUCAAAGAAGCAAAGUUCCCUGCAGUUCUUCAAGGAACCUUGAGAAUUCAGAAGGUCUUGGGGUGGCUGCAUCCAUCCUGCAGACAAAUGCCAAUCAGCAGAGGGGCCAUUCCCAGGGACACAUGUCUGGCUGACUUGGGCCUUGGCCAGGCUUUGGAUUCACCUUGAAAACAUCCCCUCUGAACAUCAGAAGUCCACUUGGUCCCCGAACAGUGUAUUAACUUCUAACAUUUCUGACUUCCAGUCAUGGAGAUUUCAAAACCAAUUGCAUAUAGCAAUGAAGCUUUUCACUUUUAAUGGAACAUUUAGGAGAAGGGCGGCUUUUCCUAUUUUCUGUGUUAUCUUCAGCCUGUUAACUGUUGUCAGCCCUGGAGAGAAACCAUCCCUUCUCCUUAAAAACAUGAACCACAUACUAAGUUGCUUCUUGCCUCUUAAAGAUUCAGGUCACUCAGGUACAUCAGACUGAGACAGGACGCUCAGGUACAUCAUACUGAGACAGGACACUCAGGUACAUGAUACUGAGACAAACACUCAGGUACAUCAUACUGAGACAGGACGCUCAGGUACAUCACACCGAGACAGGACAUGUUGAUUGUUGGUGUGUAUUUCUCCCAAGCCACCACUCAAACCAGUGUUUGAUUUCCAUGGAGGUUGGCUGAUGGCUUUUAGCUUGAGCCCCAACAGUGUGACUUCAUACAAGGCAA
ensembl:lncRNA FRG1-DT FRG1 divergent transcript